GAAGCAACGUGCUGGUGGCCUCCACUGAUGGAGCAGAGGGCCUACAAAGAUGUACCAGGACUAGCUCUCACAAGCCGCCAGUCUAAGGCACAACAGAGGCCUGAAAGAAUCCGACAGUUCAAGAACUGGCUCUUACAAGCAACCAUGUGGCACUGCAGACCUCUGCAAGAUUGUACCCACAAGUACUCGAUAAGGACCAGCAUAGAAUGGAGGAGUGCAAGACAAAGGAAAACGCAAUGACAAAGGUCAAAGGAAAAUGACCCCAGGACUGUGUCUGCAGACCUGGGCAGCUGCUCUGUUCCUGUACCCUUCCACUGGGAAUAAGGGCUGCAGAAAGCACAGAACCCUCUGAGAUGCAAUUUCCUUGUCCUAAGAUUGCCCCACUUACCUUACCAGUUUGUUGGGAGGAUCAAAUAAGAUAACAUAUGUGAAUUUUGUAAACCAAGAUUUGCUAGCUACUGAAAUGUAAAAAAUCUUCAGAAGAGGCACUCAGUUCAAUUAUAGAGUGUCAACUGCAAGACUCAUAUACAGGGUUGAAGCAUUUUAUUGACAUACUGAAUCCAAACUAACUUUGAACUUCAUUGAUGAAAAUAUUUAAGAUGCUCUUAUAAUGAGGCACAAAAAGAGGACUCUUUUGCAGAAUAAACCAAUCUAGAACAGUUUCCUAAGACCUCAUUUAUUGUCUUUUGAAAACCUUUUAUUAUGGAAAGUUUCAAACAUACCCAAAGGUAGAAAGAAGAGUAAGAAUGCACCCAACUUCCAUUCUUAUGAACCCAACAUUCAGCUUCAACAUGUGGUCAAUCCUGUAACUCUGGUGUUCACUCAACGUUCAGUUCAGUUCAGUUAAGUUCAGUCGCUCAGUCGUGUCCGACUCUUUGCAACCCCAUGAGUCGCAGCACGCCACACUCAACAUUAGUAACCAUUAAACUCACAUUAUAUGCCAAUAAAUUUUAAUGUUCAAA